GCUAGCUUAUAUUUUACUUAUCCUUAAAACCCAGCUUACAGUGGCAGGCACCUGUAGUCCCAGCGACUCGGGAGGCUGAGGCAGGAGAAUGGCGUGAACCCGGAAGGCAGUGCUUGCAGUGAGCUGAGAUCGCGCCACAGCACUCCAGCCUGGGCGACAGAGCGAGGCUCUGUCUCAAAAAAAAAAGAGGAAAAAAGAAAAAGGAAAAAAACCAGCUUAAAUUCUUGUAGGAAUAAGGCCUUUGGCUUUCUGGGACCUUGGUCCACUCAGCUGCAAAAUUGACUUACAGGAUCAUGUCAAUCGCCA
rnacentral:lncRNA from 1 species